rnacentral:rRNA from 1 species
ACGGAAGGCAGCAGUGGGGAAUAUUGGGUAAUGGGCGCAAGCCUGACCCAGCGACGCCGCGUGAGGGAAGAAGGUCUUCGGAUUGUAAACCUCUUUCAGCAGGGAAGACAAAAGGACGGUACCUGCAGAAGAAGUCACGGCUAACUACGUGCCAGCAGCCGCGGUAAUACGUAGGUGGCGAGCGUUAUCCGGAAUUACUGGGUGUAAAGGGUGUGUAGGCGGAGGAGCAAGUCAGGCGUGAAAUGCCAGGGCUCAACCCUGGAAUUGCGCUUGAAACUGUUCCCCUUGAGAGUGGGAGAGGUAAACGGAAUUCCUGGUGUAGUAGUGAAAUGCGUAGAUAUCAGGAGGAACACCGGUGGCGAAGGCGGUUUACUGGACCACAACUGACGCUGAGACACGAAAGCGUGGGGAGCAAACAGGAUUAGAUACCCUGGUA